AUUACGAGGCAUAAUAAAACCACAUUCUAUAUGUAAGCAACAACUUAUUAAAAGGAAUCCUUGAACAACAUGAAAAUUAACAAGUGCAACUCCCACAAACAACUCAGGAGUGUGUCAUGCGAAUUAUGCAGAGGUUCACCCGUAAAUACGUUCACGUCCACAGCUACUUGAAAGACGCACUCGCAUUGCUGUUGAUUCUCUUGCUGCCGUACGUAUGUCCAUAAUUUACAUGAGGUUAACACGCAAGCAAACAGGCGGCAACAGAUGCCUCAGGACUGGCCUUGAUUAUCUACUGUAAAAUCGAAUGCACGCACACACCGGCAUACAGUGAGACUAUAGCAACAGCAACAACAAUAGCUGCAACAGGAGCAGCGAACAGCGCAUCAAGUUUGUAAAGUUUAAAAAGAAAUUCUAUUGCAGCGUUGAAUGUUGAAAUAUUGCCAAAUCAUGGCUUUGAAGUAAAUAAAUUUCCACGCCACCGCUCGCCGUGACCGCUGAA